rnacentral:tRNA from 1 species
CAAGAAAGGGAGGAAUCGAACCCCCUUUGACUAGUUUCAAGCCAGCCCCAUAACCAUUAUGACUUUCUU